rnacentral:sRNA from 1 species
AUAUGUGUGAGCUGAUAGUAUAAACAUGUGUGAAUGUUUAGAUAAAUUAAAGUUAUGAACUAUGAAGUUAUUGCCAACUCUUUUUACACAUUUAUGCUUUUUAUAGAGAAAGAAAUGAAAAGGAAUGUUAGUGGUUGGAUUGUUGGAUGUGUAUGAGUUCUAAAAUUAAAACCACAUCUUGCAAUGGGAGAAGGCUUCUUGUUGCUUUGCUUAGUCCUUUGUUAUCAGCUGAGAUAAUUUAUGAAUAUAAUAAUAAUUUACUUAUCAGAUAUUUUGCUUUUUUGGAUUUGUUUAUUCACAUUUAUACUUUUAGACACAAUCUGACUGGCAUUUUUUAAAUUUAAAAAUGAGUUGACCUAGUUUAAUUAUUUUGUGUUAAUUUUAUUUUGAGCAUUUAAGCAAUGGCAAUUUUAUAUGGGCUUUUUUUUUAUAUAAAUUACAACAAUCCACUUGAUUACUAUGUAUUGCCUUUAAAUAAUCAAAGAAGACAUUUAUCAUGCAUCAUUGUUAACAUUGAAAUAAAACAUUGGAAAAUGG